AGUGAUAUAGCUCAAUGGUUAGAGUUUAGUAUUGCAAAUACUAAUGUUGUAGGUUCGAGUCCUACUAUCACUU
rnacentral:tRNA from 1 species